AUUGAACGCUGGCGGAAUGCUUUACACAUGCAAGUCGAACGGCAGCACGGGUGCUUGCACCUGGUGGCGAGUGGCGAACGGGUGAGUAAUGCACCGGAACGUAUCCAAUAAUGGGGGAUAACGCACCGAAAGGUGUGCUAAUACCGCAUACGCCCUGAGGGGGAAAGCGGGGGAUCGUAAGACCUCGCGUUAAUGGAGCGGCCGAUGCCGGAUUAGCUAGUUGGUGAGGUAAAGGCUCACCAAGGCGACGAUCCGUAGCUGGUCUGAGAGGACGACCAGCCACACUGGAACUGAGACACGGUCCAGACUCCUACGGGAGGCAGCAGUGGGGAAUUUUGGACAAUGGGCGCAAGCCUGAUCCAGCCAUUCCGCGUGAGUGAAGAAGGCCUCGGUUGGUUAAAGACGUC
rnacentral:rRNA from 1 species